GACGAACGCUGGCGGCGUGCUUAACACAUGCCAGUCGAACGGAAAGGCCCUGCUUCUGUGGGGUGCUCGAGUGGCGAACGGGUGAGUAACACGUGAGUAACCUGCCCUUGACUUUGGGAUAACUUCAGGAAACUGGGGCUAAUACCGGAUAGGAGCUCCUGCUGCAUGGUGGGGGUUGGAAAGUUUCGGCGGUUGGGGAUGGACUCGCGGCUUAUCAGCUUGUUGGUGGGGUAGUGGCUUACCAAGGCUUUGACGGGUAGCCGGCCUGAGAGGGUGACCGACCACAUUGGGACUGAGAUACGGCCCAGACUCCUACGGGAGGCAGCAGUGGGGAAUAUUGCACAAUGAGCGGAAGCCUGAUGCAGCAACGCCGCGUGCGGGAUGACGGCCUUCGGGUUGUAAACCGCUUUCGCCUGUGACGAAGCGUGAGUGACGGUAAUGGGUAAAGAAGCACCGGCUAACUACGUG
rnacentral:rRNA from 1 species